GCUCUUGGCAAAUGGCCUCAAUUUUUUCAGUGAAAUAUGGAGGAAAGAUCCUCAGCUGAGAGGGUAUGGGAAAGGGUGCCACGAAGGCUUGAGAAGUCAUGAAAAGGUUAAGAAAAACUGUAGUGGAAGGUUGGAUACUGACUUAAGUAAGGAGAUAGGCAGGAUUUUCCUGCUGCAAUGAAGACCCAGUUGGGAUUAUGUAACAUAAAUGUGUAGUAGACCCACUCGGUAUGGUUCAAUGGUUUUCUCCAAUUUAAUUUAGGAGGUUAUAAAUGGGAGCAAAGAUGGUGGAAGUAAUCCAAGGGUGGGGGUUUAUGGGACAUGAUAGUAAUAGGAUAAGGGAUCGAGGGGCUUGAGGGUGGAGGAUAGAAUUGUACUAGUUCAGUAAGAGGUCAAGAUAGGGAAAGGAGAAAAGUAUGUCCUUUUUGUAGGGGUGAUAGUGAUAGUCUGGGAAAGAACUCCGGGUGGAAGGAGUGGAGGCCAUAGUGAGGUCAUAGAAAAGGGUGAGGGGACAUGCGAUAGAAGAAAAGAUAGAAUGAUAAAAGAUUAUGACUGAAUAAAGGAAUUCAGGAACAUGAGAGUGGAAUAUUUGUGGUGACGGCAGGAUCAAGGGUCUGACCAUUUCUGUAUCUAGCUGAGGUGGAGUGGAGGAGUAGGUCAUAGGAAAUGAACAACUUAGGCCUGGGAAGUUAGAGAGUUUGAGGGAAUAUUUCUAUGUAUGUUGAAGUCCCCAGCCAUGAAGGCAGGAGUCAGGAUGGAGAGAAAGAAUGUGAGCCAGGCACUAACUUCAUAGAACUAAGGAGAAUUUCCUGGUGGGAAGGGUGAAUAGAUAAUAGCUAUUGGAAGGGUGAUUUGGACAAUAAAUUCAUAUCAAUGAACUUCAAAGGAGGAGGAAUUCCUUGGUGAUAGCGGCAACAAGAGAAUCUGAAAUGGGAAAUGGGGAGCAAGGAAUAUUCCACUUUCACCACCAUGACCAGAGAUGGUGGUUUGACUUGUCUGACCCAUUCUGCCUGCUGUUUCUCCCCCACAAUCUGAAUCUCUUCCUGUGAAUGCCAGAAUACCUGAUUCCCAUCAGGUAAGGGCAGGUGAAGUCUAGCCUUUGUUGUCAUUUCUAUUAACAAAUGCCUAUCUAUUUUUGAUGCUAAAUCAUUUGACAACUGCUAGGUCUUUGAUGGUAACAAUUUUCUGCUUCAGAGGUUCUAUAGUUUUGGUGCUGAAGAGGGUGGAGCUGUGACAUCAGCAAAGGCAGUUGAUGCCACAAGAAUUGCUUCCCCCCAAAUGGCUGCAGGUCUGAGAUUGAUAGCUGGGUUGGUGGGUAGAACCACUGACAUGAGAGCCCCUGCCAUCUUUAGUGCUUAAGAGGACUCUGAGUCCUAGACUGUCUCCAGCAGGAUUUGAGAAAUGGCAAUGGUCU
rnacentral:lncRNA from 1 species